ACAAUCAUGGCAGAAGGGGAAGCAAACAUGUCCUUCACAUGGUGGCAGCAAGAAGUGUGGAGUGAAGUGGGGGCAAAGCCCCUUAUGAAACCAUCAGAUCUUGUGAGAACUCACUAUCAUGAGAACAGCAUGGAGGUAAUUAUCCAGUUGAUAUUUAUCUUGUUCCAGUCACCUUUAGAAAGCUGUUUGGCAAGGGCAGUGACUGGAAGCUGGGAGAGAGGGUCAACAGCUGAAUCUC
rnacentral:lncRNA from 10 species